GUCAACAGGCCUGCAGCCUGCUCUCCGGUUGUCUUCCUCGCAGCGAGCAGUGGCACAGAGCUACAGCGGCAGAUAGGCAUAGCCGUCUUCCUCAGCCUGAGAUCUGCGUUCUAACGUGGUGAACCGGUGCCUCUACUGCAACCUGACGACGAGCAGCGGCAGUAGCGCUCGGCGAGGCGUAGAAGUUCCGGUGCUGCUGCCCGUCAUGGAGUUCGCCGACGAGUGGCUUCAGCGGCGUCCAUCCCCCGUCCAGCAUGGUUUGCAUUAGCAGGUGUAACCUCAUGGAUCCAACUUGACUGGAUCCGUGGCCACCGGAUCCAUCGCUGCCGCUGGGAUGAGGCGGGUAGGCAACUCGCAAAUCUCAGCAUCAAGGGCAGAACCAUGCCUGGCCCUCGAGCCCUCCACUUCCGCCUCGAUGGUUGAAUGUAGCGAUUAGACUUGGAGGUGCACCUCGCGAGCUUUAUCUGCAGGACGCCAUCCAUGCCGAGGGCUCUCGGUCAGCAACAAGCGGCAAUCUGAUAGGCCAUGAGGGGCUUAAGAAAUAUUUUGCUCUCAGUCAGCAACAAGCAGCAAUCCAGCAAGGCAUCAAGGGCAAGAAAGUACAAGGCUGCAUCUUGUUAUAUUUUGCUGAACCUGUCUUUCGUAGUUUCUGUUGCAUGAGUGGCUUAAAUGCCAUGUUGCUCUAGAGAAUUAUGAACCAGAUUUGAAAUAUUGCUCUGGUGAUGCUAACUUGGAUGAUAAAAUUUUUGUCUUGUGGACUGAAUUGAUUAUUUGAUAAAUAGGCUAAAUUUUCCAUGGGCUUUA